AUUGAACGCUGGCGGCAUGCCUUACACAUGCAAGUCGAACGGCAGCACGGGAGCAAUCCUGGUGGCGAGUGGCGAACGGGUGAGUAAUAUAUCGGAACGUGCCCAGUCGUGGGGAUAACGUAGCGAAAGCUACGCUAAUACCGCAUACGAUCUAUGGAUGAAAGCGGGGGGAUCGCAAGACCUCGCGCGAUUGGAGCGGCCGAUAUCAGAUUAGGUAGUUGGUGAGGUAAAGGCUCACCAAGCCGACGAUCUGUAGCUGGUCUGAGAGGACGACCAGCCACACUGGGACUGAGACACGGCCCAGACUCCUACGGGAGGCAGCAGUGGGGAAUUUUGGGACAAUGGGCGCAAGCCUGAUCCAGCAAUGCCGCGUGC
rnacentral:rRNA from 1 species